rnacentral:lncRNA from 1 species
AAUAGAUUAAUAAUAAUAGUACCAAAAGAAUUUAAUUUUGUGCUAAAAGUGUUUAAAAUAAGCAAAAUAGGGCUUAAUUGAGAUCAAAACAGAAGUUCUAGGAUAAAGCACAAAUAAAAGGGGAAAGGAGGACCUCAUUGAAGGGCACGUGGAACAAGGGGGUUUAAAAAUGUAAUUUACCCAAAUUUCUGAACCUAGCAUUUAAUAUGGACCAAAUUAAAAGUUGCACAAAAUUGCUGGGUGAAAUUCAAAAACAAAAGUGAAGCAGAUUUGGGCAGCAAGAAAAUGUACAGGGACCUGAUGCACAGAUUGACCCCUUAAGGGCAAAACACGUGGGCCCGCCACUUUAAAAGCUAUUGAAUGGUUCUGCAGGACCCAUUUUAUUUCUUAUUCCCAUUGUUUUUCAAACAAAAAGAAGCAGAAUGCUUCUUCUUCCCUGCUCCCUUUCCAUUUUUCUUUGCUAGGAAUUCAACCUAGCUUGCGCCACCCUGGAGGAUCAUCGGUGCCACGCACCUCCACCCCACCGCCGGUUCACGGAUCAAGACCAGGUAAGCCCUCCUUUCUCUUUUAAAACUUUGUUUGAUUAUUUUCAAAAAUAAGGAAAAAAAAAGAAAGGAAAAAAAAUGUAGAUGCACAACAAAGGCUAAAAACCUUGAAAAAAAAAUUAUAAUUACCUUUGAUUCUAUUGGAUGGUAUUAAAAGUUUACUCAGAAAUCUGGUAUAUUUCUCUGUAUUUCUCUUGAUUCCCCCGAAAAAAAACUCUCCUUUAUACCGUAUUUUCAAUGGCUUUUUGUAGCCUAGAAAUAAAACAAGUCUCCUCCUGUUACUAUGCUUCUUGUUGUUUUCUGUUGAAGAUAUAGCUGCGAAAAUCUCGGAAUCGAGAGGCGUGGCGGAGUAGGACGCUGGUGAGAGGCGUGCGGCGCGAGGACUCAUGCAACAAUUUUGAGUCUCUGUUCGUUUGGGCCUUGUUUGGGUCUAUUUUUGUGCCUAUUUUCCUUGUAUUGGAUCAUGGCAUGAAAUUGGUCCUACAGUUACAUUGCUACCAAUUGAGUUUUUUUUUUUAUUAUUUCAAAAUGUCACACCGACCAACUUAACAAAAAAAGAAAUAAUAGUGUUAACAAUUGAAUUUAAAUUUUUUAAAAUGUAAAAAGUAGAUCUAUUAAAUUCCUGCAAAUAAAAGUAUAUGGACUAAAUUCUAAAUUUAUGAAAAGUAUAAGGACUUAUUGUAUAUUUUUAAACUUAUAGAUGUAAGUGUUAAAAUAAAAAUAUGAUAUGACAUAUUGAGAGAAAGCCUAUCUGAAAUUGAUUCACUCACAUGCAUCCAAAUAUAUGAAGCAAAUUGAGAAAAUGAUAACAAAUAAGAAAAAGAAAAUGUAUUUCCUUCCCCCAAAUGCUUCAAAGCUCCAUUGAAAUUUGAAAGGACUAUGUCUUCAUUUGUUUUUAAUGGUUGAAAUGAAAACUACUAAAUAUGGAAGCAAAGCUCGUGGUUGGUCCUAAAAGUUCGAGGAGGGGUUGACUAAAACUCUAAAAAAAUUUCAGGGAUUUAAUAGAAUUUAAAAAAAAAUUUGACCCAAAAUUUUCAAAAUUAGAUUAGUGGUUGAAUCGAUUAGGUCACAAAUUAGAUUAAACAAAUUAUUAAAAAUUAAUAAAAAAUAAAAAAUUCAGUUCGACUGUUUUUUGUCUGGUUCAA